AUUGAACGCUGGCGGCAUGCUUAACACAUGCCAGUCGAACGGAAACGAUGGAGCUUGCUCCAGGCGUCGAGUGGCGGACGGGUGAGUAACGCAUGGGAAUCUGCCUUUUGCUGGGGGAUAACGUAGGGAAACUUACGCUAAUACCGCAUAAGACCUAAGGGUGAAAGCGGGGGACCGAAAGGCCUCGCGGCAAGAGAUGAGCCCAUGUUGGAUUAGCUAGUUGGUGGGGUAAAGGCCUACCAAGGCGACGAUCCAUAGCUGGUCUGAGAGGAUGAUCAGCCACACUGGGACUGAGACACGGCCCAGACUCCUACGGGAGGCAGCAGUGGGGAAUAUUGGACAAUGGGGGGAACCCUGAUCCAGCAAUGCCGCGUGUGUGAAGAAGGCCUUCGGGUUGUAAAGCACUUUCAGUAGGGAGGAAAGGUGCGUAGUUAAUACCUGCGCAAUUGACGUUACCUACAGAAGAAGCACCGGCUAACUCCGUG
rnacentral:rRNA from 1 species